CAGAAUGUGAUUGUGUUCAUUCAUAAGUAAUCACAAUACACAUGAUGGGCAAACAUGACAAGGAGAAGAGACAAUGUGCUAUACCAUCCAGAGCUAGACCAAAUGAAUCCAAGAAGUAAAAUUUGAAUCUCACAGGCUGGCUGAAAGGGAUUUCGCAUUCACUGGACAGGAGCACGAAGGCAACUUUGUUGUACCGUAGGAUCAAAAGAGAUGAUCUCUCCAAUUUGUCAAGAUCAUUUGAGAUUCUAAUUCUGUUUUCCACAUGUUCAGAAUCCCUCCAUCUCCUGCCAUACGCAAAUUUACUUAAUAUA